UUCCAUUCACGAGUGUUAUCGUUAUAGAAACCGUUUUAAAUUACCAUGCAGUUGCGCGAUUACAUACGUAUUUUAUUAUUAUUCUGCUUGCGAUUUGCCAUAAACUUUUUGAUUCUCUACCGCCAAAAACAAAACGGCGUACCAGAAGAGCCUCAACGGCUUGGAACUGUCAGGACAGACAAAAGCUAGUUGCAGUAACAAUGGCCUGAAACUAUAAAGGUAGACAGGAGCUGGUUACUGUGACACCCGCACAUCUGUUUUUGUUUGGCACGCUGUUUUGGUUUGGAUAAGAUGGAAAAUUGCAUUAAUUGCGAGGAAAACACGCGAAAAUACAAGUGCAGCAAGUGCUCGGCGCCUUACUGUUCUGUGGCCUGUUAUAAGGCCCACAAGGAUUCGCCGCAAUGCUUGGCCAAUGAUUUGGUUAAAGAAAAGGAGAAAUCUGCCUUCCACGAGGAACCUACGCUCCAUGUUCCCUUCACUACCGACGACACUGUGCCCAUGGAGAAGCUGCAGCAAUUAGAAAACUGCCCUAAUCUGCGAAACUUGCUCCACAAUCCGCACCUGCGCUCGCUGCUCCAACAGAUUGAUGUGGCCAUCAAUGCCCAGACGGCCAUGAUGGCCGCCAUGCAAGAGCCUCUGUUCCUGGAGUUCGCCAAUGCCUGUCUGCAGGUCGUGGAACCCAUGUCGGAUGCGGAGCGCGCUGAAUUCGAGUUGUGCUCCUAAAAAUCAACCAACUCAGGCUUGACCAGCUGUGCGUUGUUGCUGCAGAUGAAAACCAAAGGUUUUUAAAUUAUUUUAAAUAAGUCAGUGCUUAUAACUUACCUUUCUCCCACGACGUAUUCAAAGAGAUCAUCUGGCAUUUUGGCCCUGUCCAGUUUGUGGGCCAGACCAAAGUAGCGUCGCCUCAGCACAUAAGCCAUUUCCUUGGGCUGCCUGUUCCUGGUAAAGAUGCCCUUUCUAUUCCCACCAAUCCUGUUGAUAGCUAAGGAUACAAAUGAAACCAAUGUAUAUUAUAAACAAGGGAAAAAAGAAAUACUAACACUGGGCCGUUUGGAAGUCGGCAAAGUUCCACACAAACUCCCCGAUGAACCAGGAGUUUUCACGAAGCUUAUCGAAGGCCCGAAAGUGCCUGGAGUACAACUGCCGCUGGAAAUCGGGGGAGCCCAUGAGCGAAGGCAACUUUUCAAGAAAAACGCAAUCAAUCAGGGGACACAACAGCGUAAGACCAUGCCUUACCGAUCGGUAGAACCCUAAGGAAUCCGCUCCGUACUCCAUUAUUAUCACCAGCUUGUUGGUCACGUUGCGCCAAAGCAAGGCCUCUUCAAUCACAGGAGCGGUGAUACUGUCCAGACUGCCAGGAGACGAGUACCAACCAUUGUAACGAUUGAAGCCCAGAAUGUCCAGCAGUCCCGCGAGAGUUGAUUGACCGAUUUCAUCGAUUGCCGUGGCAAUGGCAGCAGUCAAGGGGCGGUCAUCGUGUGCUAUUUGCCUGACGUACUGCACCAGAUACCUGAGAAAAAACAGACCCUGAUUUACUGAUUUUUCUCACCAAGAUAACAACCCACUUGAAGUAUAGGGCAGACUGGUUGCUGAACAAACUGCUGGGUUCAUUGGCCACCGACCAGGCGAUGACACUGGGAUGAUUCCUGUCCCUGUGGAUCAGCUGCUCCAUCACCGACAUGUGGUUGUGCAACAGGCGCGGAUGAAAGCUGUACAGGUCCACCGCCGAGCACUCAUCAAUUAUCAUAAUGCCCUGCUCGUCGGCAAACUGCAUGGACUCCUCGGAGUACGGAUAGUGCGAGGUGCGAUAGGCAUUCGCUCCUAUCCACCUCAGCAGGUUGAAGUCGCGCAGCAUCAGCGGAUUGUCGUGGCUCCUCCCGCGAAUCUGAAGCCAGAAGUCAAUAUAGGGAUCUCCCAUUCAGGAGCAGGUUGUUGCUGUCCCAACUAAGACUUCGUAUUCCCACGGACAGACGGUAGACAUCCAGUCGGACGUCAGCUUGCGACUCCUCCAUCGCAGAAUCGCCCUCGUAGAGAUCUAGUUUGAGCUGGUAAAGGUAGCCUGGCUCCGGAUCCAUGAGAUAAGGCCACCAUGCUCGGGCAUGGUUAACGUGCAGGCUGCCGCUAAAGGCAUGUCUACUUAUUUUUUGGGCCACCACUUCACCCCGUUGAUUCAGCAGCCGGACAUGGAUGUAGUAGUUUUUCCGCAUUAAUUGCUCUUCUUUUCCAGCCACCCAAAGGCGGAAGUUAACGAUGCCCACUUGCUUCGAGGAGUACUCCGUGGACACGGAGACAUCGCUGAUGUAGACGAGCGGCGUGGAGUACAGGAGCACAGUUCUAUGGAUGCCAGCGUAGUUGAAGAAGUCAAAAGUGUAAUCUUGUUGGCUCCGGGAGUUCUCCUUUUCUUGCAGCUCCCCUUGGGGAAUCGAAAAGCGAUCCAGUCGGUUGUCGCACAUCACGGUCAGUCGGUUCUCGGCUCCGAAAUUCACAAAGUUCCCCACCUCCGCCUCAAAGGGCAGUCCGCCGGAGCUGUGAUUCAGGACGGCCUGUCCGUUGAUCCACACCUCGGCGCGGUAGUGGACACUUCCGAAUCGCAGCCAGGUCCGAGAUCGUCGAUCCCAGGAGGCGGGCACAAAGAAGGUUCUCUCGUACCAAACCGGACCAACGUGGUCACGAAGCGAUCGACUGACGGUGAUGUCAUUGUAGGAUGCGGGCACCGCCAUGGAGAUCACACGGCGACCCGACUGGCUGAGACCCUUCUCGAACCACUUCUCCAGGUAGCCCUCCAUUGGCCGACUAGAGGAGCUCUUCACCAACCGCCAGAUUCCGUCCAGCGAUCGCACUUCCCGAGUCUCAGAGUCUUGGGGAUACAGCAAGCCUCUUGUGGAAUUGGGAAGUAGUAUUGUCUCUGAGUCAGCCAUAGAGCCCCAAACAGAAGCUAGCAGGAAGGACACACCAAUCCCCAGCCACGUUUCCAGAUGCAUAUUUAACGACGGAAUGGAUCUGGGCAGCUUUCCCAUACUCAAAACGUGAAGCCUUCUAGUCACACUUAUUUCAAUUUCACACCCAAUUCGUAGCCUAACUGAUUUAAUUAAAGGUUACCGUCGCAACGUGAGAAAAGUAAUUAUCUAAGCAGUCAAUUUGUUAAAUACAGAUUUAUUCGACACAAAUUCAGAUAAUACACUAGAUAACAAUUGAAUAUUGGCUUUGCCAUUUUAAAUUUCAGUAGAGUUAAAGUCAGUCAAAAUAAAUUGAAACUGGAUCACAA